GACGAACCGUGCGAACGUUAUUCGGAAUCACUGGGCUUAAAGCGCGUGUAGGCGGAUGGGAACGUCGGACUCUGAAAGCCCCCGGCUCAACCGGAGAAGGGGAUCCGAAACGACCCGUCUGGAGGGACGUAGGGGGACCUGGAACUUCCGGUGGAGCGGUGAAAUGCGUUGAGAUCGGAAGGAACGCCCGUGGCGAAAGCGAGGUCCUGGACGUCUGCUGACGCUGAGACGCGAAAGCUAGGGGAGCGAACGGG
rnacentral:rRNA from 1 species